AGUGACAUUGUUCAGAGGAGCAGAGAGGAGCUCAAAGCUGUCAGAGAAGCCAACCCAGUCCUCAAACCUACAUUGGCUAUCAUACAGGCUGGUGAAGAUGAGGGUUUGCUGGAGGUGAAUAAGAAGAUGGCUGGAAAGAUCGGAUUGAACGUUAUGCAGAUUUGUCUUCCACACCAAUGCACAGAGGAAGAGGUCAG